UGCGAACUCCUACGGGAGGCAGCAGUGGGGAAUAUUGCACAAUGGGCGAAAGCCUGAUGCAGCGACGCCGCGUGAGCGAAGAAGUAUUUCGGUAUGUAAAGCUCUAUCAGCAGGGAAGAUAAUGACGGUACCUGACUAAGAAGCACCGGCUAAAUACGUGCCAGCAGCCGCGGUAAUACGUAUGGUGCAAGCGUUAUCCGGAUUUACUGGGUGUAAAGGGAGCGCAGGCGGUGCGGCAAGUCUGAUGUGAAAGCCCGGGGCUCAACCCCGGUACUGCAUUGGAAACUGUCGUACUAGAGUGUCGGAGGGGUAAGCGGAAUUCCUAGUGUAGCGGUGAAAUGCGUAGAUAUUAGGAGGAACACCAGUGGCGAAGGCGGCUUACUGGACUGUAACUGACGUUGAGGCUCGAAAGCGUGGGGAGCAAACAGGAUUAGAAACCCUUGUAGUCCAGAUG
rnacentral:rRNA from 1 species